rnacentral:snoRNA from 1 species
GACGCACAAAACCCUAUUGAGGCAACAACUCGUGUAGUUUGCCCCAGUAAGACCUUGUUAAACCCGUCUACGUGCGAGAGUAACCAAAAAGACUUGGCGUCGCAUUUGCCAUAACCCCAAACACAUGGUAUGGCGAACUGAAACUUCGAGUUACA